GAUGAACGCUGACAGCAUGCUUAACACAUGCAAGUCUUUGGCGAAGCUGUGCUCGCCCAGCCUAGCCAAGGCGGACGGGUGAGUAACGCGUAAGGAACUUGCCCUGCAGUCAGGGAUAACAGACGGAAACGACUGAUAAGACCUGGUAAAGUCAGGCGGACUCAUGUCCAGCCUGAUGAAAAGAGAUGCUGCAGGAGAGCCUUGCGUCCUAUUAGCUUGUUGGUGGGGUAACGGCCCACCAAGGCGAUGAUAGGUAGCCGGCCUGAGAGGGUGGACGGCCACAAGGGGACUGAGAUACGGCCCUUACUCCUACGGGAGGCAGCAGUGGGGAAUAUUGGACAAUGGGGGCAACCCUGAUCCAGCAAUUCUGUGUGCACGAUGAAGGUUUUCGGAUUGUAAAGUGCUUUCAGCAGGGAAGAAAAAAAUGACGGUACCUGCAGAAGAAGCGACGGCUAAAUACGUG
rnacentral:rRNA from 1 species